UACGUAGGUGGCAAGCGUUAUCCGGAUUUACUGGGUGUAAAGGGCGUGUAGGCGGGAAAGCAAGUCAGAUGUGAAAACCAUGGGCUCAACCUGUGGCCUGCAUUUGAAACUGUUUUUCUUGUGUACUGGAGAGGCAGACGGAAUUCCUAGUGUAGCGGUGAAAUGCGUAGAUAUUAGGAGGAACACCAGUGGCGAAGGCGGUCUGCUGGACAGCAACUGACGCUGAGGCGCGAAAGCGUGGGGAGCAAACAGG
rnacentral:rRNA from 1 species